GGGGUUGUGGCUCAGCGGUAGAGCAUUGGCCUAGCAUGCAUGUGGCCCUGGGUUCGAUCCUCAGCACCA
rnacentral:tRNA from 1 species